AUGGCGCAGGCGGUGGAGGAGUGGUACCGGCAGAUGCCCAUCAUCACGCGCUCCUACCUCACCGCCGCCGUCCUCACCACCGUCGGCUGCACCCUCGAGAUCAUCUCGCCCUACCACCUGUACCUCAACCCCAAGCUGGUGGUGCAGCACUACGAGAUCUGGCGCCUCGUCACCAACUUCCUCUACUUCCGCAAGAUGGAUUUGGAUUUCCUGUUCCACAUGUUUUUUCUUGCGCGCUACUGCAAACUUCUCGAGGAGAACUCAUUCAGGGGAAGAACAGCUGACUUUUUCUACAUGCUCUUGUUUGGUGCUACUGUCCUGACUAGCAUCGUUCUGAUUGGUGGGACAAUACCUUACAUUUCUGAGACAUUCGCCAGGAUUCUUUUCCUCAGCAAUUCAUUGACGUUUAUGAUGGUUUAUGUCUGGAGCAAGCACAAUCCCUUCAUUCACAUGAGCUUCUUGGGUCUGUUCACCUUCACUGCUGCCUACUUACCUUGGGUCCUUCUUGGCUUCUCUAUUCUGGUGGGGAGCAGCACAUGGGUUGAUCUUUUGGGUAUGAUUGCUGGCCAUGUGUAUUACUUCCUGGAAGACGUGUACCCUCGGAUGACCGGUCGGCGUCCCCUGAAGACCCCUUCCUUCAUCAAGGCGCUGUUCGCCGACGACAAUGUGGUCGUGGCGGCCCGCCCCCCCAACGCCGGUGUCGCGGCUGCAAGGUUCGGUGGUGUGGGUGCAGCAGACCCCCAGUUCCAGUGA
rnacentral:rRNA from 1 species